NGGUGGCCACGGAAGUCGGAAUCCGCUCAGGAGUGUGUAACAACUUA
rnacentral:rRNA from 1 species